ACGCCGCCCAGGUUGGAACGUUUCUCCUAAAAAAUCAUGUACGAUAAACAUUUCGCAAAACCCGUAAGCUUUCAUUCACACACAAAAACCCUUUUAUACAAAAAUUAUCCCUAAAACCCUCUUCACACUCUUCGGGAAAAAAAUCUUUUUCUACAAGCUACCUCCACCUCCAUUCCAGCUGCCUAUUUUAACAUCACUGGGGUCCUUCCAAAAUUCCCCAAUAUUACACUAAAAG
rnacentral:lncRNA from 1 species